rnacentral:rRNA from 1 species
UACGGGGGGAGCAAGCGUUGUUCGGAUUUACUGGGCGUAAAGGGCGCGUAGGCGGUCAGCACAAGUCAGUUGUGAAAUCUCCGGGCUUAACCAGGGAACUGCGUCUGAUACUGGAUGGCUUGAGUUUGGGAGAGGGAUGCGGAAUUCCAGGUGUAGCGGUGAAAUGCGUAGAUAUCUGGAGGAACACCGGUGGCGGAAGGCGACAUCCUGGACCAACACUGACGCUGAGUGAGCGAAAGCCAGGGGAGCAAACGGG